rnacentral:rRNA from 1 species
AGAUUAGAUUUCCCAAUAGAUAGGUUGGAGACUACAACCUUGAUAGGUCACAGGUGUACGCGCAGCAAUGUGUUUAGCCGAGUGAUACUAAUAAAUCGAUUGGCUUUUACCU